rnacentral:rRNA from 1 species
CCUACGGGAGGCAGCAGUGAGGAAUAUUGGUCAAUGGACGAGAGUCUGAACCAGCCAAGUAGCGUGAAGGAUGACUGCCCUAUGGGUUGUAAACUUCUUUUAUAUGGGAAUAAAAUGUUCCACGUGUGGGAUUUUGUAUGUACCAUAUGAAUAAGGAUCGGCUAACUCCGUGCCAGCAGCCGCGGUAAUACGGAGGAUCCGAGCGUUCUCCGGAUUUAUUUGGUUUAAAGGGAGCGUAGGUGGAUUGUUAAGUCAGUUGUGAAAGUUUGCGGCUCAACCGUAAAAUUGCAGUUGAAACUGGCAGUCUUGAGUACAGUAGAGGUGGGCGGAAUUCGUGGUGUAGCGGUGAAAUGCUUAGAUAGCAGGAGGAACACCGGUGGCGUAAGCGGUUUACUGGGCCGUAACUGACGCUGAGGCACGAAAGCCAGGGUAUCAAAUGGGAUUAGAUACCCGGGUAGUC